rnacentral:rRNA from 1 species
AUGGGGAACGGCGGCGGCGUCCAUGCCGAUCAAGCUGUUGCAUUGAAAAACAAAGGCAGCCCCACCUGCAGUGACGUGGCGAAGCCGAGCUGCAAGCAUAGGUACGAGCUCGUCUGCUACGACGCGCUCCGGGCCUUCUUGAAGCACGACGAAUGCAUCCUCGAUCACUACCGCAGCGAAUGGCCCGUCAAGCAGGCGAUCCUCAGCGCCUUCGCCCUCCACAACGAGACGAUCAACGUCUGGACGCAUUUGAUCUGCUUCUUCAUCUUCCUCGCGCUCACCAUGUCCGUCUGGUCGGGGGAGCACGGCCCGGUCACGCGGUGGCCGUUCUACACGUACCUGUGCGGCGCCAUGUUCUGCCUGCUGAUGAGCAGCGGUUGCCAUCUGCUGGCGUGCCACUCGGAGCAUGCCACCUACGUGCUGCUCCGGCUCGACUACGCCGGCAUCACCGGCCUUAUCGUCACCUCCUUCUACCCGGUCGUCUACUACACCUUCCUCUGUGACCCCUUCUCCCGUACACUCUACCUUGGCUCCAUCACCAUCUGCGGCGCGGCCGCUGUGGCUGUCUCGCUGCUGCCGGUCUUCCAGGCACCUGAUCUGCGGUGGGCGCGCGCUGCGCUAUUCGCGUGCAUGGGCGCGUCCGGCAUCGUGCCAAUCGUGCACAAGAUGCUCAUGUUCCAUGCACGACCCGAGGCGGUGCUCACGACUGGUUACGAGGUGGUCAUGGGGGCGUUCUACCUUGCCGGCGUGUUGGUUUACGCCACAAGGGUGCCGGAGAGGUUUAUGCCAGGAAUGUUUGACCUCGUCGGGCAUAGCCACCAGCUGUUCCACGUGCUAGUCAUUGCCAGCGCUUACGCGCACUACCAUGCUGGCCUGGUUUACUUGAGUUGGCGGGACAGGGACCAGUGCUGA